rnacentral:rRNA from 1 species
UACGUAGGGUGCAGGCGUUUAAUCGGAAUUACUGGGCGUAAAGCGUGCGCAGGCGGUUUCUUAAGUCAGAUGUGAAAGCCCCGGGCUUAACCUGGGAACUGCGUUUGAAACUGGGAGACUUGAGUGUGGCAGAGGGGGGUGGAAUUCCGACGUGUAGCAGUGGAAAUGCGUAGAUAUGAUGGAGGAACACCGAUGGCGAAGGCAGCCCCCUGGGUUAACACUGACGCUCAUGCACGAAAGCGUGGGGAGCAAACAGG